CUUUUUGUCUGUANNUGACGUNAGAACGAAAGCGUGGGAAGCUCCACGCNGUAAACGAUGAGUGNUAAGUGUUAGGGGGUUUCCGCCCNUUAGUGCUGCAGCUAACGCAUUAAGCACUCCGCNUGGGGAGUACGGUCGCAAGACUGAAACUCAAAGGAAUUGACGGGGGCCCGCACAAGCGGUGGAGCAUGUGGUUUAAUUCGAAGCAACGCGAAGAACCUUACCAGGUCUUGACAUCCUCUGACAACCCUAGAGAUAGGGCUUUCCCUUCGGGGACAGAGUGACAGGUGGUGCAUGGUUGUCGUCAGCUCGUGUCGUGAGAUGUUGGGUUAAGUCCCGCAACGAGCGCAACCCUUGAUCUUAGUUGCCAGCAUUUAGUUGGGCACUCUAAGGUGACUGCCGGUGACAAACCGGAGGAAGGUGGGGAUGACGUCAAAUCAUCAUGCCCCUUAUGACCUGGGCUACACACGUGCUACAAUGGACAGAACAAAGGGCUGCGAGACCGCAAGGUUUAGCCAAUCCCACAAAUCUGUUCUCAGUUCGGAUCGCAGUCUGCAACUCGACUGCGUGAAGCUGGAAUNGNUAGUAAUCGCGGAUCAGCAUGCCGCGGANAGGAUUUAG
rnacentral:rRNA from 1 species